AGCCUAAAAAAAUUUUGGAUUUAGAUUUGGGAAUUUUUUCGGGUCCCCUAACCCGACCCAAAAAUAAAAACUAAAAAAAUAUAAUUCCUUAAUUCAUUUGGAUUGAAUCAAUCGUUCCCCCAAAAGAAACCCUAACGGCUCGUCAGCCGCCGCUGCCGUCGCUAACAGCCUAACAGCUCGUCAGCCGCCGCCGCCGUCGCUAACAGCUGGUCAGUCGCCACCGUUCGUCGUCACCGACCAACACCAGCCGCGCUAUCGGUUCUCCUGCUGCAAGGUUUUUGCUUUUCCUAUUUUUCUUUCUUUAUUUAUUUAUUUCAAAUUGCAUCUGGUUUCAUUGAUUUGAGUCAAUUUUACGUUUUGUGUGUUUUCAUUCAUCUUCUUCUGAUUUCAUUCUCAGUCACAUAGCCUGAAGCACAAACUGCAGCCAUGGAGAGCUC
rnacentral:lncRNA from 1 species